UGCACCGCAGAGUAAGAGUAGAUAAUUUUAUUUCAGAUGACAUGUGUUUUAAAAAGUUAAAAAUGUCAGUUAAUGAAAAUGAUAAGGCACGAGUGACAGUAGCAUUAAUAAUAAUAAUUAAAAGUCAUAGCCUUAAUUUCGAAAAUUAGGGGAAAAUGAUUUAUCCAUUAACUGACAUUGUGAUAGAGAGUGCUCUGGAGAAGGGAGAUUUUGGGUCUCUUUGGGAGAGCGAGUAGGUCUGAGCAGGCACAGGGUCACCACAGCAGCUAAUGAAGGUUGGAGGAGGCAUAUGAAGACCCUUAAUUAGCUCAGUUGUUAUUCUUCCAUCAUGAGCAAUUCAUUAACUCCUGCCUUAUCUACGCUGCUGUUCCCUCGCUGAACUGCGCAGUCCCUUAACAAUGUGAGCUCUGGGGGAAAGGGGUAAAAGUGGGGAGAUUAGAGCCCCCACAAACCGAGAGGAGAUACUGACGGGCAAGAAAUGGGAAAGGUCCUUGGCAAACACCCACAUGUGAGAGUCCUUAGCACAAACGCUGGUGUGCUGCUAAUUGUUCUAAUUGGUUCCAGCAGCGAACCCAGCCCAGACGGGUGAGGACAGGCAUUUACUAACUGGGCUCCUACUGCUGCCUAGAAGUCGGUGCGGAAUUGCUGAUAGGCUAUCACACACGGUGAAGAAAGCACUGGUCCGGCAGCCCCAGCUUUGGGAUCCGGGAAGGAGCAGAGGCUUUUUUAGCUCAGCCUCUGGAAACCUGGGCAACAGAGGAGGCAGCUGAAGGUGUUGGAAAGCACUUGGGGUCAACUUUGGUCAUCGAUGUCCUGAGUAACUGGGUCAGAUAACUGAAUGACUAAAGCCGAUCAUGAGUGGCAAAGCCGAGGCUGAGACCGACUGGGCGAACAGAAGCCGUUCGGAGACGGAGAGAGAGGGAAUCAUUCACUCUCGUUCCACUGUGGGUCAUCCCCGACUUAAACGGGGACCAUACUGUGCCUUGAAGCAGGCAGAAAUCGUGUCGGUGCCGGGUGAUGGGGACGCGCUGCCUCUCGAGCUGCGGCGCUCGGGGUGCGCGAUGCUGAGCGGGAGACCCAGGUCCAGGCGGGAGCAGGACCAGGCACCGGCCGCAUCCCAUCAGCAGCGCCUCGCAUCAACCCUUCUGCCUCCCCCGUACAUUUUCCACCUCCUCUGGGUCCCCAUGACCAUCAGUAGAGCAGCAAGCGGCUCCCCCCGAGUUCCUCGCCGCCGGGGGCUCCCCCCGAGGUCUGCCCACCUCUCCAGACAGGGGGAGAGGCGCAGGGGUGGGCAGGCAGCAGACACCCACAUCUGUUUCACUUCGAGCCGUGCGGGACCAGCCUGCAGACGGAGCGAUCGGGAGGCAGCCGCCCUGCCAGCGGGCGGGGGGCGGCCGAGCAUCUUCUCCCCCGGAGCAUCCCCCGGGCGCUGUCCCCUGCCCCCGGCCGCUCGCAGCGCGUCAUUUUGCUGCCCCCCACCCCCGCCCUCCCCUUCGCCGCCCUGCAGAGGCACAAGACGCAGCUCCCGGCGGUUCCUCGCUGCCAUGAAAUGCACCAAGUGGAAAUUCAAUCGCCCCGUUGUGUGUGUGGUCGAAAUCUCUGGCAGCUGCUUCGGAAUUUUUUAUGACACUUUCGUUUAUGUAGGGGAGGCAUAACUAUUAUUUUACUUAAUAAAAAUGGAAGGCGGCUCGAG